rnacentral:rRNA from 1 species
AACGGAGAAUCAGGGUUCGAUUCCGGAGAAGGAGCUUGAGAAUUGGCUACUACAUCUAAGGAAGGCAGCAGGCGCGCAAUUACCCAAUCCCGAUUCGGGGAGGUAGUGACAAAAAAUAACAAUACCGGGCCUUUUUGGGCUUGGUAAUUGGAAUGAGGGAGAGUUAAACGGACCAUCGAGUAUCCAUUGGAGGGCAAGUCUGGUGCCAGCAGCUGCGGUAAUACCAGCUCCAAUAGCGUAUAUUAAAGUUGUUGCAGUUAAAAAGCUCGUAGUUGGACUUGUGUGCGCUGUCCGCGGGUGGCCUGCGCCCAAAAGGGCGUUUCGGUUCGGCCCCGGUGGCGCCUUGAAAUCUGCAGCUGGGGGGACGUUGGCCUUAACUGGUCGGCGACCGCACGCCGGCUGCUCGGUUACUGUGAGAAAAUUAGAGUGUUCAAGGCAGGCAUUGGGUGCAAUUGAAUACAUUAGCAUGGAAUAAUAAAAUAUGGCUCCUGCCGUAUUUUGUUGGUUUUGACUGGUGGGAGUAAUGAUUGAUAGGGACGGUUGGGGGUGCUAGUAUUGAGCGGCCAGAGGUGAAAUUCAUGGAUUCGCUCAAGACUAACUUAUGCGAAAGCAUUCACCAAGGACGUCCUCUUUAAUCAAGAACGAAAGUUGGGGGAUCGAAGACGAUCAGAUACCGUCGUAGUCUCAACCAUAAACUAUGUCGACUUGGGAUCGGCGGUAGUUUUUUCAUUAAGACACUGUCGGGACCACGGGAGAAAUCAAAGUGUCUGGACUCUGGGGGAAGUAUGGUCGCAAGGCUGAAACUUGAAGGAAUUGACGGAAGGGCACCACCAGGAGUGGAGCCUGCGGCUUAAUUUGACCCAACACGGGGAAACUUACCAGGUCCAGAGAUGUAGAGGAUUGACAGAUUGAAGCUCUUUCUUGAUCACUUCGGUGGUGGUGCAUGGCCGUUCUUAGUUGGUGGAGUGAUUUGUCUGGUUAAUUCCGUUAACGAACGAGACCUCAGCCUGCUAGUGUAGUCGGCUGGAUUGCCUUUGGCGAUCCGUGAUUUCGACUUCUUAGAGGGACAAUCGACGCGCAGUCGAUGGAAGUUUGAGGCAAUAACAGGUCUGUGAUGCCCUUAGAUGUUCUGGGCCGCACGCGCGCUACACUGCUGGGCUCAGCGAGUUUUACUUGGCCGAGAGGCCCGGUUAAUCUUGUGAAAUCCCAGCGUGCUUGGGCUCGCCUCCUGCAACUGGAGGCGCCAACGAGGAAUUCCUAGUAGACGCAGGUCAUCAACCUGCAUCGAUUACGUCCCUGCCCUUUGUACACACCGCCCGUCGUUCCAUAAGAGUGAGGCAUCCGGUGAAUUCUCGGGAGAGCCUGGGCGUGGCCAGCAAUGGUCUGCUCGGGUUUGAACU